CUUCGGCAAAAUAUCCUUUCCCACAAUGCACAGCGGCAUCUGCCUUUCAUAAGUCUCUGCACGACUUCCGCCCUCUCUCUGUCGGCUGGAGCCAUGUGGGAUGUGUAACGGAUGGAGUCACUGCUAAACUUGUCAGAGAUGAUGGCUUUCCUGAUGAUGAAACCACAUGGCAGAGCUUUAGACACCGGAUAGUGAGAUAAAGCACUUGCCCCAGAAUAAAGGCAGCACUGUGGAGAUGCUCCUGGAGGAGCAGGGUCAUGCUGCAGGCUGACUUGAGCAGCAUGUGGCGAAUGGUGUGUGAUGAUCGGAGAAUGACUGCAGGGUAAUCCAGCUAGGUUGGUCUGGAUGAGUGGAUACAUCUGACUGCUUGCUGAGAGGUGACGGGGCUGCUCGGUCAUCAGUACAUCACCCUGGUUCAUGUCUGCUCAGCUGAGGCAGAGACCAAGGCUGUGUGACAUUUCUUAUUUUCUUCUAAGUCCAAGAAUGUAUUUCUGGUCAAUGAAAAUAAUGCUGUAUCACCUGUUCAUGUAAUUUAGACAUGUUCAACUGAAAUGCAGCAUCUGUGUCAAAAAUGUUCCUCCAGUGCAUAUGAAUAAAUUUAAUUUACUACA